AGCGUUGGAGCUGCAAAGGUGAAGAACAAGUCCAUAGAGUUCAUCGAAUUCUGCAAUGCCAAAAAUGAAGAAGGAUGCAGGAAAACUUUGGAACAAAUGAAAAUGGAACAUGCAACUUUGAAAGGGAAGCUACAGGCUUAUUAUCAUCUUCUAAGACAAGCUGGACCUGCUGAGACGGCUUGUCGCCCCAAGUGAGAGGAAAAUCCACUGGAAUUGAUGAUAAAGAGGAGAUGACGAUGCAGAAGU